GACGAACGCUGGCGGCGUGCUUAACACAUGCAAGUCGAACGGAAAGGCCCUGCUUUUGUUGGGUGCUCGAGUGGCGAACGGGUGAGUAACACGUGAGUAACCUGCCCUUGACUUUGGGAUAACUUCAGGAAACUGGGGCUAAUACCGGAUAGGAGCUCCUGCUGCAUGGUGGGGGUUGGAAAGUUUCGGCGGUUGGGGAUGGACUCGCGGCUUAUCAGCUUGUUGGUGGGGUAGUGGCUUACCAAGGCUUUGACGGGUAGCCGGCCUGAGAGGGUGACCGGCCACAUUGGGACUGAGAUACGGCCCAGACUCCUACGGGAGGCAGCAGUGGGGAAUAUUGCACAAUGGGCGGAAGCCUGAUGCAGCAACGCCGCGUGCGGGAUGACGGCCUGCGGGUUGUAAACCGCUUUCGCCUGUGACGAAGCGUGAGUGACGGUAAUGGGUAAAGAAGCACCGGCUAACUACGUG
rnacentral:rRNA from 1 species